GGGAUUUGAAGAGGGAGAGAACGCUGUGGAGCCGGUUCCCGGGAGUUAGAGGCUCUAGGGGUGGGGCCUACGAUUCUUGGUCUUGUUAUGAAGUUCAGGCUGGCCUUGAACUCUGUAUAGCCCAUGGCCCAGGCUGGCCUCAAAACUCAUGGAGAUCCACCCACCUCAUUCCUCCCAAGUGCUGGGAUUACAGUUACCUUGGAAAAUAAGGAGUUCUUAUGGUUUACAUUGGAAAUUAAAAGCCUCAUACACUCAUGGGUAGGGCUUUUGAGAGGUGACUGGAUUAUGGGCAUGUGGUGCUCAUCAGUGGAUUAGGGCACUGAUGAGUUAUAGCUCACUGUGAUUUGGGAGGUGAAGCCUGGUCAGAGGAGAUGGGUCACUGGAGGUGUGGCCUGGAAGG